AUUGAACGCUGGCGGCAGGCUUAACACAUGCAAGUCGAGCGGGGGAAGGUAGCUUGCUACCGGACCUAGCGGCGGACGGGUGAGUAAUGCUUAGGAAUCUGCCUAUUAGUGGGGGACAACAUCUCGAAAGGGAUGCUAAUACAGCAUACGUCCUACGGUAGAAAGCAGGGGAUCUUCGGACCUUGCGCUAUUAGACGAUCACAAGUCGGAUUAGCUCGUUGGUGGGGUAAAGGCCUACCAAGGCGACGAUCUGUAGCGGGUCUGAGAGGAUGAUCCGCCACACUGGGACUGAGACACGGCCCAGACUCCUACGGGAGGCAGCAGUGGGGAAUAUUGGACAAUGGGGGGAACCCUGAUCCAGCCAUGCCGCGUGUGUGAAGAAGGCCUUAUGGUUGUAAAGCACUUUAAGCGAGGAGGAGGCUACUCUAGUUAAUACCUAGGGAUAGUGGACGUUACUCGCAGAAUAAGCACCGGCUAACUCUGUGCCAGCCGCCGCCGUAA
rnacentral:rRNA from 1 species